rnacentral:rRNA from 1 species
GUGCCAGCAGCCGCGGUAAAACGUAGGAGGCGAGCGUUAUCCGGAUUUACUGGGUGUAAAGCGUGUGCAGGCGGUACGGUAAGUUGGAUGUGAAAGCUCCUGGCUUAACUGGGAGAGGUCGUUCAAAACUACCGAACUUGAGUAUGGGAGAGGGAGGCGGAAUUCCGGGUGUAGUGGUGAAAUGCGUAGAUAUCCGGAGGAACACCAGUGGCGAAAGCGGCCUCCUGGCCCAAAACUGACGCUCAGACACGAAAGCUAGGGGAGCGAACGGGAUUAGAAACCCUAGUAGUCC